rnacentral:misc_RNA from 1 species
UAUAGCAAACGUUGUACGACAUGCUACGAGCACGUUCAACACUUGAGAAGUUCGCUCCACUCGAGGUAGCGUUUCGUCGGGGCCCGGUAAAAACUUGAAACGUUAUUCGAGAUCUGACAGAUUUACCGCCCUCGGUCUACUGGCAUUCGCGUUAAUUGCGAGGUUUCACCCCCUGCUCCGUGUUGCGUCGAUGGUUACAAACUUCAGAGCGGCGUAACUUUGCCUUCGCCGACGAUUUCAUGGUCCUCGUCCCCUUGCCUCGCCGUCGUAGCGGCAGCUGACUUAGUCUCGUUGAAGAAAAACGAAAGUGUAUCGAUCAGGCGAUUACGAGUGGUCCGAUUUGUCUUUGACGACAUGUGUCGCCUUAUUGUAGUAUUUGAUGGAAUCACGAGUCGUUAUUUUUACCUAGGGAAUAGAUGGAGCAAGUUGGAGUUACUCGAGUCAGCCGGGUUUCAACAGUUUAAAAGUCAAUCUUGAACUUUGUACGAGAGAGACAAACCUUUGUGCGUUAUCGAGACACUGUUAGUCUUUAAUGCGCUAGCGAAAUAAUGAGAACAUGUUGCGCAUGUUUGAUCCCAACGAGAAAGCGUUUAUGAUACCUUGUGCAAGGAUCGUUUAAAUCAUCGAGGAAAUGUUAGACAA